CAUUGCUGGAACGCGCUUCGGCGCACCCAGAAACCCUUUGUGAACUUAUACCUACUGUUGCCUCGGCGCAGGCCGGCUUCUUCACUGAGGCCCCCUGGAGACAGGGAGCAGCCCGCCGGCGGCCAACUAAACUCUUGUUUCUUAGUGAAUCUCUGAGUAAAAACAUAAAUGAAUCAAAACUUUCAACAACGGAUCUCUUGGUUCUGGCAUCGAUGAAGAACGCAGCGAAAUGCGAUAAGUAAUGUGAAUUGCAGAAUUCAGUGAAUCAUCGAAUCUUUGAACGCACAUUGCGCCCUCUGGUAUUCCGGAGGGCAUGCCUGUUCGAGCGUCAUUUCAACCCUCAAGCCUGGCUUGGUGAUGGGGCACUGCUCUCUAGCGGGAGCAGGCCCUGAAAUCUAGUGGCGAGCUCGCCAGGACCCCGAGCGUAGUAGUUAUAUCUCGUUCUGGAAGGCCCUGGCGGUGCCCUGCCGUUAAACCCCCAACUUCUGAAAAUUGAC
rnacentral:rRNA from 1 species